UACGAAGGGGGCUAGCGUUGCUCGGAAUCACUGGGCGUAAAGGGUGCGUAGGCGGGUCUUUAAGUCAGGGGUGAAAUCCUGGAGCUCAACUCCAGAACUGCCUUUGAUACUGAGGAUCUUGAGUUCGGGAGAGGUGAGUGGAACUGCGAGUGUAGAGGUGAAAUUCGUAGAUAUUGGGAGGAACACCAGUGGCGAAGGCGGCUCACUGGACCGGUACUGACGCUGAUGCGCGAAAGCGUGGGGAGCAAACGGG
rnacentral:rRNA from 1 species